GAACUCAGCACCAAAUAACUCCAGGAGAAGCUGCAGUGGGACCCGGAGGCGAAGCAUAUGGAGGUGGAGGACGUGACCCUCAACCGUCGUGCCUGCAGCUUCCGAGUCCUGGUGGUGUCGGCCAAGUUUGAGGGGAAGCUGCUGCUUCAGACACACUGGCGGGUAAAUAUGUGGCUAGCUGGAGGCUCUCGCACAUCCAUGCUUUUGAGCAGAAAACCCUCAUCCCAGAGCAGUGGGCUUGUGAACGGCAGAAAGGAGGGACUGGCAUCUGCACAGCCAUUAAAUUAUAAAUCAGGACCAGAAAAAAGGGAAAAGAAUGAAGCAGAUCCAUGUGUUAUUUUUGGGCAAUGGACAACAAAAUAUACCGUGUAUUAAUAAAUGAAAAAAAGAAGUAGCGAACAGUGUGGAUGGCAGGUUACCAGUAAUGUGAAGAAAAAUGCAGGGAGACAAAUAUGUGCAUAUACUUUGAGAGGCCGAGGCAGUAGAAUCACCUGAGCCCAGGAGUUCAAGAUCAGCUUGGGCAACAUAGUGAGACCAAGUCUCUACAAAAAGUAAAAAUAUAGAAAA
rnacentral:lncRNA from 1 species